rnacentral:rRNA from 1 species
GGAGGAAAAGAAACCAACAGGGAUUGCCCUAGUAACGGCGAGUGAAGCGGCAACAGCUCAAAUUUGAAAGCUGGCUUAGGCCCGCAUUGUAAUUUGCAGAGGAUGCUUCUGGCGAGGUGCCUUCCGAGUUCCCUGGAACGGGACGCCAUAGAGGGUGAGAGCCCCGUAUGGAUGGACACCAAACCUGUGUGAAGCUCCUUCAACGAGUCGAGUAGUUUGGGAAUGCUGCUCUAAAUGGGAGGUAAAUCUCUUCUAAAGCUAAAUACCGGCCAGAGACCGAUAGCGCACAAGUAGAGUGAUCGAAAGAUGAAAAGCACCUUGAAAAGGGGGUUAAACAGUACGUGAAAUUGUUGAAAGGGAAGCGCUUGUGACCAGACUUGCGCCGGGCAGCUCAUCAGGGGUUCUCCCCUGUGCACUCUGCCCGGCUCAGGCCAGCAUCGGUUUUCGUGGGAGGAUAAGAACGGCAGGAACGUGGCCCCCCUUCGGGGGGGUGUUAUAGCCUGCCGUACGAUACUCCCGUGGGGACCGAGGUUCGCGCUCCGCAAGGAUGCUGGCGUAAUGGUCAUCAGCGACCCGUCU